rnacentral:rRNA from 1 species
GGGCCCGCACAAGCGGUGGAGUAUGUGGUUUAAUUCGAUGCAACGCGAAGAACCUUACCAGGGUUUGACAUCCUGCGAAUCUCUUGGAAACAGGAGAGUGCCUUCGGGAACGCAGUGACAGGUGGUGCAUGGCUGUCGUCAGCUCGUGUCGUGAGAUGUUGGGUUAAGUCCCGCAACGAGCGCAACCCACGUCUUUAGUUGCCAGCAUUUAGUUGGGCACUCUAGAGAGACCGCCGGUGAUAAACCGGAGGAAGGUGUGGAUGACGUCAAGUCAUCAUGCCCCUUACAUCCUGGGCUACACACGUACUACAAUGCUACGGACAAAGAGCAGCAAGUUCGCGAGGACAAGCAAAUCUCAUAAACCGUGGCUCAGUUCAGAUCGUAGGCUGCAACUCGCCUACGUGAAGGAGGAAUCGCUAGUAAUCGCAGGUC